AUUGUCACAUAUUUUAUUUGCAACACUAAGGCUCUUCCAAAUGGGUCCAUCAUCCAUAUAAUUAAAUACAGACAUGUAAAAUAAAAUGGCUACAGCAAGAAUCGGAGUGAGGCGCAAAUAACGGUGAAUAUACAUCAUUGGAGCCCAUAAUCAGUAGUAGUCCACUAAGAAAGAAAAAUGAGUCCACAGCAAUUGAGCCGCUCUGUUCAAUCAUCGAAAAUGGCGUUUGUUCCCACUAUAUAAAAAAUGUAUAAAUUAGAUAUAGAAGAGAUAUCAUUAUUUAUUAGCAGCAAUUAAACUUUUAACUCACUCACA